rnacentral:rRNA from 1 species
GAUGAACGCUGGCGGCGUGCCUAAUACAUGCAAGUCGAGCGAACAGACGAGGAGCUUGCUCCUCUGACGUUAGCGGCGGACGGGUGAGUAACACGUGGAUAACCUACCUAUAAGACUGGGAUAACUUCGGGAAACCGGAGCUAAUACCGGAUAAUAUAUUGAACCGCAUGGUUCAAUAGUGAAAGACGGUUUUGCUGUCACUUAUAGAUGGAUCCGCGCCGCAUUAGCUAGUUGGUAAGGUAACGGCUUACCAAGGCAACGAUGCGUAGCCGACCUGAGAGGGUGAUCGGCCACACUGGAACUGAGACACGGUCCAGACUCCUACGGGAGGCAGCUGUAGGGAAUCUUCCGCAAUGGGCGAAAGCCUGACGGAGCAACGCCGCGUGAGUGACGAAGGUCUUCGGAUCGUAAAACUCUGUUAUUAGGGAAGAACAAAUGUGUAAGUAACUAUGCACGUCUUGACGGUACCUAAUCAGAAAGCCACGGCUAACUACGUG